AGUCAAGCACUACACUUAGUAACACAUCACAAGGAGGAGAGAGUGAUCAGCAACACACUCCAGGUUUUCCGAGAUCCUGAAAGCAGACACCUGAAAAGUAACAACUUGGCAGCAAGAAAAACAAACAAACAAAGAGAAGUAGAUCACCGGGAAUUGUAAAGGAACUAAACCUACAGAGAAGCUGGAGACAUGGACCACCAGCGGAGAAUACCAAGCAAUCUGAAAGCUCUGCUUGACUCCCCAUGAGAUUAUCUUCAAGAAUAUGAAGACAAUGGAAUAUGAAGAUGAUGCUUCUUCUACAGUAAAGAACAAGCAGCUUACAGACCAUGGAAUUGUAUCCCCUGAGAAAAGAUUUCUUCCAGUAGUACAACACAGUUUAUGACAAAGUGGGUUUUGGGCCUCUUUGCAAAAACCUAAGGAAUUCAGUAAUGAGGGACCGACACAAAAAUUAUGACAGUUUAUUACUGCUCAUGGAGUAAUAAAAUAUAUUUCAACUCUUA